rnacentral:lncRNA from 1 species
UUUUGACUGGCACAGUGAUUCCCCUUUAGGUAACUGAGCUGGUGCUUAUGAAUUCCAAGUGGAAAGUAGCGUGUGUACAAAUCAUUACAGAAAAAUGGAAACAUGAUUGGUUUUAUGGUGUUUGCCUUAUUUGGUUACAGACACAAGUGCUGUUGUAUGGCCAGGGCUGUAUUCUAUAUCUAUCUAAUGGUACUAAGUGCACUUAAAAGGAAAACAGGAAAAAAAAAAUCUAAUUCUGCAGAAAAUUAUAGGCAGUCCCUGCGGAUGUAAUAGCAAUAAUAUACUGGGCUUUUAAAUGCAACUAUUCUGGCUCUUGUGUAUCCUGCUCUUUAUUCUUAACGCUAUAAUCAAGUGUAAUUACAGGUGUAGACAUUUUAAUUAAAGGUGAAUGAGUUUUAAUUAAAAGUGAAAAAUACAGAAUUGAACCAACAUUAACAACGUUUGUGUGACCAAAUCCCAGGAGUAUCUUAAUAUAUACCUAAGAAAAACACUAACUUUUACAAAAAGUUUUACUUGUUGAAUCCGUGAAGUGCUUUUCUAUAAUAAGUUCUUUCAGGUACAAAGCGCGCUACUAUUGCUAUGAUUUUGAGACCAUGCCAAAGCUGAUUGCCACUGAGAGUUGCAAGUUUUACCUACCUCAUUAUCAGUGGAUAGAACUGAUUUGUUUCUCUGCUAAGCCAACCUGCGGAUUGUGAGGCAAUUACAAAUAUAAGUGCUAUUGGUUUUGCCGCUGUUGUGGCACAGCAUUGCAGAUUUCAUGCAGUUUUUGUGAUAUGUUCCUUUCUUGUGUUUAGAGCAGUGCUGGUGAAGAAACUGAAUUUGGAGCAAAAGGUCCCAGAGGGCUGAUCACACAGGUCGAUUUCCAAUCGAUCACACCAAACUGAAAUGCAUAGGCUCUUGGUUAUGGGCACAGUAUGUCUGCUGAGAAGCUGGAGCUGGCAUCAGCUGCCAAGGACCUUGGUGGAGUUUGUUUCCAAGCUGGAGAACUGUGAUCUUCCUGGUGAGCAGGAGCAGGCAGAAAUGAAGGAAGGAAAGAAGAUGAAAAUACACCAAAGAAAGAAGUGUCUUAACACAUUCCCCCCAAAGAACAGGUAGCAUUCCCUCAAUUAGUCCAGGCAGACUUCAUCUACUCGAUGGUAGGUCCAAAUUCAGGUCCUGGUUUGUGUGGGAUACUGCAGAAUGUUCUACAUUUUUGUAAUUGAUGUAAUUUUCUUUGGGUUGGGGUGAGUUAAUUAAACAUUACUGCAACAUUUACUGGUGUCUCUUUGGUUUCUGAAAACACUUAAUUCUGUGCUCCUGUCUGUUGAUCUCCUGCCAAAACUCUCUUGCCUUCUGCAUGCUUCCUGUUGCUGAGUUUCUUUUGGGGCUACUUUCAGUAACCUGGAGUGAUUCUGUCAGCAUGUUGCUCGUCAUGCUUACACUACAGAAGAAAAAACUGUCACAGUUCAAGAGAAUGCUCUUCAAUGCCACUGGAAAGGC